UUCAGCCGUCUUCAGAGACAGUUGGCAGUUGGGCAGCAGCCAUCUUAGAAGGAAACAGAGCAACAACUUAGAGCAGAGGCAGCUGCUGGUCUGUGACAGGAGUGAUGUACAGCUUAUGAAGAGCCAGCUUCUAUUCCUAGUGACCGGAGAUCAGCAUUGUAGAAGCCAAUUGGUAAUACCAGCCUCCUGUGGGAACCCACUGCUUCCGGUGGUGCUCGCUGACAGGCAUCUGACAGAUCAGAACAGUGAUGGGCUCUACUGACUGUGUGGCUGGAAACUAGGCCAUGCAGCCUGCCCUCCCUUUUGAAGACAGCCCUGGAGGUAGCCCUGCUUUGGAGUAACAGAUGGUGGGAGGAGCAGAGUCAGUGUCUUGCUGCAGCUGCAGACAGAGACUUUAAAGCAGUGUUUGUUCUUUGGCAAAAAGGAAAUAAAAGCUGGCACAGUUAGCAGAAAGAGAUUGUAAAACAUAUCUUUAGUCACAAGACAGAAGCUAGUCAGCUGGCACAAACGUUCAAUUGUUUGACAACGUAAGAUCUGUUCAGAAAUAAAAGGGUUCAAGAAUACCAUAUAUUGGUUUAAUUCCCAUUUAUUGAGGGUGUUUUUUUUGGAAGCCUGGGUACCAGAAGGCACAACAGUGAAUCACCAUUACUAUAAAAAUGGUCUAGCAACUUUGCAGAAAAGAAUCAGAAGAAAGAGGCCAGAAUUGUGCAAAAAUGAUUUCAUUCUCCAUCAGGAGAAUGUACCAGCCCACACAACUCUCUGUGAAGCAGUUUUUCCUGAGAUACAGAUUGCAGUACAAGAACACCCUCCAUACUCACCAGACCCAGCACCGUGUGACUUCUUCCUUUUCCCUAAAGUCAAAUCUGUACACAAGGCAACCCAUUUUACAUCAGUUACUUUGGUAAAGAAGAAGAUGAUAGAGUUGUUGAGAUAGCUGAAAGAUAAUGAGCUACAGCACAGCUUUGACCAAUGGUAAAUAAGAAUACAGCAGUGUGUGUACGCAGAUUGGAAGUACAUAGAAGGGGAAUGGAAUUUAAAUGUACUUAAUAUAAUUAAACAUAAAUUAUAUAUUCA